AGAUAGACUCUAAUCAAAAGCGCCGCUGACAUAAAAAACACCCCACCCCUGAAAUCCCGUUUUCUUCGACCCCUCCUCCACACUUCUUCUUAUUCAUCACCAUUAGAGACCCCUAGACAGAGGAGCUAAAGAAGCCUUCCUCCACAAUACACCCAAACACCCUUCCCCAUCGCUGGUCUUCUUCUUAACCAUCUGAACUUACACACACCCACGAAACCAAGGCUGAAAACAAAACAGAAACAUGGAGCAAGAGUGGACUUAGAAUUUAGUUCGAUUUUUGCUUCUAUAUGUUUCAUCAUUUUCUGGGAUUCCAUUGGUAUUUCAAGGUGUAAAGAAGAUGUGUAAAUCAAAGGCUAAAUCUAACAAUAACAGUUUGUUAUAGAGGUCGUUUGAGUUUCGAAGCUUUUGUUCCUUCUGAUUUCAAUGGAGAUGAGUUAAAUUCUACCCGUGUCGGACUUUGUUUGAGUGUUCGUCGCCGAUCAGGGUUCGUUCGCGGCUGUUAAUUUCUAUUUCUUGGUUACAGUUUGUGUUGGAUUUUCACUACCGGAUUCUUUUGUAAUUUGCCGAAGAAUUAAUUGAAAGUUUUGACAGGUUCAUCUUCUACUCCUCCUUAUUUUAUUAACAGAAGAUGUUUGUGAGUUAGUUUAUAUACUAAUCUAUGAUGCCGAUUUCUCGUGAAUUUUACUGAAUUUCUAUUUGUUUGGCGUGUUUGACUGAAGCUUGUCGAGUUAUGAGAUUGAAAAGAGUAAACUGUGCCCAAGAGUUGAAUAGUUCCAACUUAUCCGAAAGGAAGAUUAUAAAGAUAUGAAUAAUUCCUUAUGGAAAAGAUAAUGGUGUUUAGACUCAAUUGAAUGAUGUUAUGCAUAUGUGAACGUUCUGUUAGCUGAGCAAUUUAGCCUAUAUAGACUACAAUCUAGUUUUCUCCUUAUGUUGUUAGCCUUUUUCUUUGCUCUUUAUCUUAUUAUGGUGUUGAUCGAAAUACAAUGAUGUUGAGAUUUUGUUAGAUUGGAAAUGCUUAAGAGCGGGUUUAUGUGGUACCCAUAUGUGAUGCAAUUUUUGUC
rnacentral:lncRNA from 1 species